AAGAUCAUACUUUCAGGAUCAUUUCUGUAGUAUGUAUCUUCGCCUUCUCCAUACAAUUAUGGAGUCGAUGUAGCCACGAUGAUGAGGCGUGGUCCAUCAGCCUGAGCGUGAGGCAUGCCUCUAAUGGAGAUUUUCAUUAGAGGUGUACGAUGAUCGCAACUGCCUUCGGGUAGAGGGUUGAUGGACUGGCUGAGUGGU